UGAUCCAUUGACAGGUGCACAGUCAAAGAUGAUUGCUUAGUUAGAAUGAACUGGUGGUAUUAACCGUCUGAGUUCUUGUCGGUACAACUUAUGAGACAGACUUUCUCCUUUAAAGAGAAAGAGCGCAAAAUUUCAUUGGCCAAUACCCGAAUCGCGGGCAAUCGCAUCCAUUUUGUGUUUGCUUUCGUUCAAGCACUUCAGCUCCUCCAAAUACCAAAUUAAAAGCGAACUUAAUAACGAGCGGUGAUUAAAGUAUGAAAAUUGACAUUGUUUUACUUCCGAGAUAAAGAGACAUUCCAGAUGCUUGUAUCGAAUCCCGAAAGGAAAACCGUUACUUGACAAUUACUUGUCAAUGGCGUUUUGACCACCGACAUCGACAUCAAAAGGACAUAUGUUGCCUGCACGCGCACAACAACCUCGCAUUUUGAAACGAUUAACUCAUUACUGAUACUAUACCCUGAUUCUACUGCUAGCAACCUAGGAAACGACAACUAGGAAAAUUAAUAGCUGGCAAGCGAAGAUGGAAUUACGGGUGCAUUUUCAAUUUCUGAUGAGCCUGAUACUUUUCCUUCUUAAAUAAUGUUGUGCAUAUAAUUAAAUCUCAGUCUGCUUGAUCUCCUUGUCGUUCGUUUGAAAGUUGCGUCAGAAGGGGGCGGCAGACACCAGAGUCUGAGACUCGGAAAGUCCACAAAAUAGACUCGAGGUAAAUUUAUUGUCUGUAAAGGAGGCUUUGAAAUAAAAAGAAAUAUUUACAUUCAA